rnacentral:rRNA from 1 species
UACGUAGGGUGCAAGCGUUGUCCGGAAUUAUUGGGCGUAAAGAGCUCGUAGGCGGUUUGUCGCGUCGGCUGUGAAAACUCGGGGCUCAACCCCGAGCCUGCAGUCGAUACGGGCAAACUAGAGUGUGGUAGGGGAGACUGGAAUUCCUGGUGUAGCGGUGAAAUGCGCAGAUAUCAGGAGGAACACCGGUGGCGAAGGCGGGAUCCUGGCCAGUACGUGACGCUGAGGAGCGAAAGCGAUGGGGAGCAAACAGGG